UGUCGAUGAAGAGCGCAGCCAACUGUGUGAGUUAAUGUGAACCGCAUACAGCUUUGAACAUCGACAUCUUGAACGCACAUUGCGGCCAUGGGUUAGCCUGUGGCCACGCCUGUCCGAGGGUCG
rnacentral:rRNA from 3 species